ACUUCCUUGCAUUCACGGCAUCCAAACAGAGUUCAUCCUCUCAUCACCCGAAGAUCUCCUCCCAGCCGGAUGAGCAUCCCAUCUCUCUCCGCGUCUAGAAGCUAACAGCCGUCCGAGAUCACCUCCAUGUCCUCCUCCACGUUGAUUCUCCAGCUUCCAGCAUCCAUGGAUAAAGAUCAAUUCCUCUGCUCCGCGUCACAGAUCUCCUCUUAGCCGUCCGAGAUCACCUCCACAUCCUCAACCGAACCCAACGUUCUCCCAGUCUUCUCCAACGCCAUCCCAUGCAUCCCAACCUUCUUCUGAAUAAGCUCCAAUGCCCCUACAUCCUUAUCCCUUUUCAUCCGCAAUUCAUCUUCAUCUCCCCUGCUUCCGGAUCAUCUUCUCUCAGCCGUGAGCAUCCACGCCAUCCUCUGCAUCCUUAUCUUUGAUUCGAAAGAGGGGAGGAAAGAGAAGUGGGCAGGCUAUAAAAGGGAGUCGAUGCAAGAAGGCUAGAGGCAUUCCUCCUCUUCCCCACCGGGGUUGAUCCUAUGAAGCUUGGAGAGGCCGACUUCCCAUAGAAAUAGAAGGAGGGAGAGAAGUUUUG
rnacentral:lncRNA from 1 species